rnacentral:lncRNA from 1 species
GAUUGGUGGUUUUGAUAGAAAGUUCAUGAGUAGUGUCAAGGCUUUGUCUGCCUCCUUUAUCCAUUGAAAUUUGUCCUAGCAUUUGAGUAGCUUGAAGAAGGGUAGUCCAUAUUCUCCAAGUCUUGAGAUGAAUCGAUUGAGGGCUGCCAUGCAGCCUGUGAGCUUCUACACAUCCUUAAUACCAACCGGAGCUUGCAUAUUUGUGAUGGUAGAUAUUUUUUCUCUGGGUUGGCCUUAAUGUCAUGGUGGCUAAUGAUGAACCCGAGUAAUUUUCUGGAAGGUACACCGAAAACACAUUUGGUAGGGUUAAAUUUCCACCGGAAUGCUCG